CCUGAACGCUGGCGGCGUGGCUAAGACAUGCAAGUCGCACGGACCCGCAAGGGUUAGUGGCGAACGGGUGAGUAAUGAAUCGCUAAUGUACCCCGGACUCUGGGAUAGCCGGCCGAAAGGCCGGGUAAUACCAGAUGAUAUAACCGCUCCGCAUGGAGUGGUUCUCAAAGGUCCGCCGGUCUGGGAGCAGGCGAUUUCGUAUCAGCUAGUUGGUGAGGUAACGGCUCACCAAGGCGACGACGCGUAGCCGGACUGAGAGGUUGGCCGGCCACAUUGGGACUGAGACACGGCCCAAACUCCUACGGGAGGCAGCAGUGGGGAAUAUUGGACAAUGGGCGCAAGCCUGAUCCAGCCAUGCCGCGUGAGUGAUGAAGGCCCUAGGGUUGUAAAGCUCUUUUGUGCGGGAAGAUAAUGACGGUACCGCAAGAAUAAGCCCCGGCUAACUUCGUGCCAGCAGCCG
rnacentral:rRNA from 1 species